GUAUACCAGCGGCGUGGGGCUCGUCGGGCGCAGUUUUGAUCAACUCGUUGGUCGCGUCGCGGCGAGCACAAUUAUAACCUAACCUCGGCCUACCCGUUGCUCUUGGGGGUCCUUCGGGAUUCCUGGGGGUGACAGGCCCCACACCAGUUUCUUGCAAGUGUUGCUUCUCCCCUUGAUUCACACCAAAAAUGUAAGGGGACGACCACGCCUUUCUUUUUU
rnacentral:telomerase_RNA from 1 species